GGAAUUUUGGACAAUGGGCGCAAGCCUGAUCCAGCCAUGCCGCGUGUGUGAAGAAGGCCUUCGGGUUGUAAAGCACUUUCGGCCGGGACGAAAUCGCUCGGGUUAACACCCAGGGUGGAUGACGGUACCGGAAGAAGAAGCACCGGCUAACUACGUGCCAGCAGCCGCGGUAAUACGUAGGGUGCAAGCGUUAAUCGGAAUUACUGGGCGUAAAGCGUGCGCAGGCGGUUUUGUAAGCCAGACGUGAAAUCCCCGGGCUUAACCUGGGAACUGCGUUUGGAACUGCAAGGCUAGAGUGCGGCAGAGGAAGGUGGAAUUCCUGGUGUAGCAGUGAAAUGCGUAGAUAUCAGGAGGAACACCGAUGGCGAAGGCAGCCUUCUGGGCUAGCACUGACGCUCAUGCACGAAAGCGUGGGGAGCAAACAGGAUUAGAUACCCUGGUAGUCCACGCCCUAAACUAUGACGACUAGUUGUUGGGGAUUUAACAUCCUUAGUAACGCAGCUAACGCGUGAAGUCGUCCGCCUGGGGAGUACGGUCGCAAGAUUAAA
rnacentral:rRNA from 1 species